GAUGAACGCUGGCGGCGUGCUUAACACAUGCAAGUCGAACGAUGAGGCCCUGCUUGUUGGGUGGGCUCGUGGGGAGAGGGUGUGUAUAACGCGAGUAUACUGUGCUUUACUCUGUGGUAUGACUGGGGAAAAGGGUCUAUUAUCGGAGAGGAGCGUUCAUGGCACGGUGGGUGUUGGAGAGAUUUAGCGGUUUUGGAUGGACUCGCGGCGUAUCAGCUUGUUGGUGUGGUAGUGGCUCACCAAGGCGACGACGGGUAGCCGGCCUGAGAGGGUGACCGGCCACACUGGGACUGAGAUACGGCCCAGACUCCUACGGGAGGCAGCAGUGGGGAAUAUUGCACAAUGGGCGCAAGCCUGAUGCAGCAACGCCGCGUGAGGGAUGACGGCCUUCGGGUUGUAAACCGCUUUCGGUAGUGAAGAAGCGAGAGUGACGGUACCUGCAAAAGAAGCACCGGCUAACUACGUG
rnacentral:rRNA from 1 species